rnacentral:rRNA from 1 species
CCUACGGGAGGCAGCAGUGGGGAAUAUUGCACAAUGGGGGAAACCCUGAUGCAGCGACGCCGCGUGAAGGAAGAAGUAUUUCGGUAUGUAAACUUCUAUCAGCAGGGAAGAAAAUGACGGUACCUGACUAAGAAGCCCCGGCUAACUACAUGCCAGCAGCCGCGGUAAUACGUAGGGGGCAAGCGUUAUCCGGAUUUACUGGGGGAAAAGGGAUCGUAGGCGGUUCAGAAAGUCAGAAGUGAAAGACGGGGGCUCAACUCCGGGACUGCUUUUGAAACGGUGGAACGAGAUUGAAGGAGAGGGAAGUGGAAGUCAGAGUGUAGCGGUGAAAGGCGUAGAUAUUAGGAGGAACACCAGUGGCGAAGGCGGCUUACUGGACUGUAAAUGACGCUGAGGCUCGAAAGCGUGGGGAGCAAACAGGAUUAGAUACCCGGUAGUC